GUCCUCUUGAUAGAUAAUUUGAGGUUUAACCUGCCCACUGAUUUUUUAACGGCCGCAGUAAUUUGACUGUGCAAAGGUAGCAUAAUCAUUAGUUUUUUAAUUAAAAGCUUGUAUGAAUGGUUGGACGAGGUAAAAUCUGUCUCUAUUUAAUUUAAAUUAGAAUUUAAUUUUUAAGUUAAAAAGCUUAAAUAUUUAUAAAAGACGAGAAGACCCUAUAGAUCUUUAUAUUAUUUAUAUUAAUUUUAGUUAAGAAUUAUUUAUUAAUUAUUAUAAAUAAUAUUUUAUUGGGGUAAUAGAAAGAUUUAAUAAAUUCUUUUUUAAUUUUUACAUAAAUUAAUGAUUAAUUGAUCCAAUAUUUUUGAUUAUAAGAUUAAGUUACCUUAGGGAUAACAGCGUAAUUUUUUUAGAGAGUUCUUAUCGAUAAAAAAGUUUGCGA
rnacentral:rRNA from 1 species